rnacentral:sRNA from 1 species
UAAACUGUCAGGCGAUCUGUACGAGAAAAUCACCAAGGCACUGAAUGCCUGAUAAGAAACGGCGGGCAAAAUGCCCGCCGUUUCU